AAUCAGCACGGGCGUCGAGGAAACUCUGCGCCCGUGCACGCAUGUUGAAGGGCAGGAAAAGAAAU
rnacentral:sRNA from 1 species